rnacentral:rRNA from 1 species
UACGGAGGGUGCAAACGUUGCUCGGAAUCAUUGGGCGUAAAGCGCACGUAGGCGGCUUGUUAAGUCGGAUGUGAAAGCCCUCGGCUCAACUGAGGAAGUGCAUACGAAACUGGCGAGCUUGAAUAUGGAAGAGGGUCGCGGAAUUCCCGGUGUAGAGGUGGAAAUUCGUAGAUAUCGGGAGGAACACCAGUGGCGAAGGCGGCGACCUGGGCCAA